rnacentral:lncRNA from 1 species
AAAACGACCAUAAAUCUCGGCUUAGAUCUCCGAUCUGCACAAAAUUGGACUUCACGGAAAGCUGAGACUUGGAGCUUCAAUCUAAAAGGUUAUCCGUUGCGUGGAUCCUCACGGUUCGCCGGAUAAUUGCCUCGCAAGCUGGCAGCGCGGAAUGGGAAGGAAGAGGCGGAAAAAGAGUGAGGAAGAGAGGAGAGAAUAGUCUAGGAGAGAGGAGGAGAAGCAUAAUCACGUCAUGGAGGAGGAGAGAAAUCCUGCGGAAAAGAGGAGAAGAAGAGAAGUCGCAGGGAGAGAGAUGGGAGGUUGGUGUCAUGAAAAGGA